UUAUAGACCCAACAGAGGGGAACUAUUGAGUUACACAGCACGUACCAUUAUAGCGUGGGGAGAUCUGCCAACCCUCUCAGUGCCCCAUUUUCCUUUAAAAGUUCGCCUUCCAAAAAAGUGAGAGAGGGGGUGAGGGCAGAGGGAGGAAGACUUGGUCUCUUCGCUGUUGCCGGAAGCAAAAAAACAGGACCUUUAAACAAGUCGGCCUUAGGCCCAGAUAGAAAAAACACACGCGCUCUUUGAAAAGUGGGUCCACUCUGCAAGUGAUAGAGGAAAGGAGGACAGCAGCAGCUCCGAGCCCUGCGUCUACGGCUGUUUGGCCUCAGAUGCGCCCAUGUCCAGCGGGGAGACGUCUGCGUCAAAGUCCCGAGGUGCGUCCUUCAGCGGCUCAACUUCUCCAGUUUGACUGCUGUGAAAAAAAAAAAACUCCCCGAUAUAAUAUUUACAACUCGCUGAAAUCAAUGGACGGGAGCGCGCGAUGCAGAAUGCUGCUUGGAGCCCACACACGCCUGACGGCCUGUUUGGAGAAUGACCAGACGAUUGAAAAAAAAAAAAAAAACUGCCUCUAAACCCUCGAAUAAUCCCACUACACGACUUUUCCAAGUCUUAACCCCCUUCAUUCAAUUUGCAAGUAGAACAGUUGAGUGAGACCACCCCGUGUCCGAAGAUUGGUGCAGGCCAAACUGAAUCUAUGGAAACCUGCUCCUGAAACAUGUCAAUGCAAUCGAGAAAAACGUGUUUGCAAAACGAAAAAAAAUAAUCUACACCUGUAUUUUAUAUCAAUCUGGCUACAAUAAAAAAAAAAAAAUGUAUUAGUGCAA